CCUUUUACAAUAAGUUUCAAUAGCGAUCCCAAGGUAAUCAACGCGAAGUUGUUGUGUGGGGCCUUAGUAGUAAAUGUAAUAUUUAUAAUAAUUCACAAAAAUUUAGAGUGUUUACAAUAUUCUUAACUAUUACUAUAAUAAUAAUUACAAACUAUGGAUCAAUAGAAAACUAAAAUAAAUUUUAAAAGGUACCACAAUGUACACAAUAUAUGACCGUCAAAAAAAUCAUAGCUGUGAUAUCGCUCGAUAUAGAGGGCGCCUUCGACAGUGCCUGGUGGCCUCAAAUACUGGUUCGACUGGUAGAAGAGGAAUGACUUGCAACAUAACAAAGAUUAUGAACAGUUAUCUACAGGACAGCAGCAUCAUCCUAAAUUGCGCAGGCCAUAAAAUCUUCAGAAGAACAAGCAAAGGAUGCGUGCAAGACUCUAUAGCCGGACCUACGCUCUGGAACUUACUGAUAGACCCUCUUUUAAAGAUGAUCGAUGAUGAGCAGGUUAAGGCUCAAGCGUUUGCAGAUGAUGUCCUGCUUAUGGCUGAUGGAGACACGGGAGAGCAGCUGGCGUCAGACGAAGGCACCAGUGUGGUAUGGAGUUGUUUAAUGGGGAACAUAUUACUGUAAAUAUUGAGGUAUGUAAAACAGAAUAGAAAUGAGUUUAUUCAUUACAAAAAUGUAUUACAAUGUAUCAGAUUUAAGCCCCUUUUAAGUAAAAAUACCUGUGUCAGGGUUCUCAUCUCAUAACAAACUAAAUAGUUAAAGUUGAAAUUUGAAGCUAAAACUGGUUAAAUAACACAAUAUGCGUGCUCCUAUUUCACAAUGCCUCCUGCUAAUAGUCCUCUUAUUUUUGACAAUCUGAGACAAAUCUUUGUUUUUAAUGUAUUUUAUUAUUAUUUAUUACUUAUGAUGUCAUGUGGAACAUGGUGUAAUGGUUGCAGCUCCUUACAAACGUUGUAAAAAAACUUAGCGAUUAAAAAGAAUGGCGGAGAGUUUAUUGCCAGUUCUCUCUUCCGUUCUACGACCUUGAUUUGACCUUGAACUGGCAGUGAAUGUAAAAUGAGAAGCAUUUAAUAUAUAUUUCUUUUUUUGACGUUCAUAAGUGAACAUUGUGUUACAUAUAAGAAUAAAUCAUUUUUGACUUUGA